GUGCUCACUUCAGCAGCACAUAGACUAAAAUUGGAAGGAUGCAGAGUAGAUUAGCAUGGCCCCUGAGCAAGUAUGACACGCAAGUUCUUGAAGAAUUCCAUAUAUUA